CAAAUGACUCUCGGCAAUGGAUAUCUCGGCUCUUGCAUCGAUGAAGAACGUAGUGAAAUGCGAUACUUGGUGUGAAUUGCAGAAUCUCGUGAACCAUUGAGUCUUUGAACGCAAGUUGUGCCCGAGGCCUUAUGGCCGAGGGCACGCCUGCUUGGGCGUCAUGG
rnacentral:rRNA from 1 species